UAAUCUCCUUGGUCAAAUCUACAUCAUGGCGCAGGUGUAAUGCUUAAAUCUUACUUGGCUAUAAACACAACAAUAUAAACAGAUUUCUGGCUGGGGAUCUAAGACACAUCAAGCGACAGGAAUACUUUGAUACUAUAUGAAGUACCUUAAGAUUGAUGAGGAAUUCACAGACACUGUGGCAGAUACCAACCCCCUCCUCUGGACUGGUGCCUCGACCCAGCUCAUCUAUAAUAAUAAGCGACUUGGCACUUGCAUUGUGGAUGAUCGAACGGCCGGUUUGGACUACAGCCCUCUACUUCCCUGUUGAAUGACAUCAAUAUAACAGUGGCGGCUCGUGACUGCUCAUCCAAGGAUGCGCUAAUUCAAAAUAAGUGUUCGGAUUGUCAC